UACGUAGGGGGCUAGCGUUGUCCGGAAUCAUUGGGCGUAAAGCGCGUGUAGGCGGUCCGGUAAGUCCGCUGUGAAAGUCGGGGGCUCAACCCUCGAAUGCCGGUGGAUACUGUCGGGCUAGAGUGCGGAAGAGGCGAGUGGAAUUCCCGGUGUAGCGGUGAAAUGCGCAGAUAUCGGGAAGAACACCAGUGGCGAAGGCGGCUCUCUGGACAGGUACUGACGCCUGAGACGCGAAAGCGUGGGUAGCAAACAGG
rnacentral:rRNA from 1 species